CAUCCAAAAAGACUCAUUUAAUAGUUAACAUAAAAAAUAUGGGUGGAAAAGUAAUUUCAUUUCUAAACAUUUUGGUGGUAUUUGUUCUCAUAAUGUCCCCCCAAGUAGCUUUUGCAAGAGAACUUGCGGAGACUACCAGUAUCAAAACCGAGACGAACGCCGUUAAACCAAUCCGGGGAGGACCCAUUGAACCAAUCGGGGGCCCAGGUUACAAGCGCCGCAGAUGUAAUUACAAGACUAUUUGUCGCGGAAGGCCACCUUCCGCCCAGACCAAACCUUGAGAAUCCAAGCCCGAACACCCAAUGUUUGAAGAGUUGAAGUACAAUACUAUUAAAUAAUUUCAAAUAAAAUAUUUCCAAACUGUAAGGUGUUUAUGAUUAUGCCGAUGUAUGUCCUUUUAAUUUUGGUUGAGUUAAAGCAAUAUUGUGGUUCUUGUUUAA